ensembl:lncRNA
AUGGUCCAUUUGGAAAGCUUAAGUGAGGAAUUUGUAGCGCUAACCAGCUCAAAUAAAAAGAAACACGGACAUAGACUUCCCUUCAUCUCCCUUUUCCAUGAAAUGCAAGUGACCAAAGAACGUGAGUGCUCUGUUGUCUUUUCUAAAACAAAUUGUGGGUGCAUUGCAGGUAUAUAUAUUUAUGGAGUAUACUAAAUAUUUUGAUACAGUCAUACAGUGCAUAAUAAUCACAUUAGGGUAAAUGGGAUAUACAUGACCUCAAGCAUUUAUCUUAAAGUUGCAAACAUUCCAAUUAUAUUCUUUUAGUUAUUUUAAAAUAUACAAUAAGUUCUUGUUGAUUGUAGUCACUCUGUUGUGUUAUCAAAUACUAGACCUUGUUCAUUCUGUCUAGCUAUAUCUUUGUACCCACUAACUAUCCUCACUGUCCCCCACACCUCUGCUGCCCUUCCCAGUCUCCGGUAACCAACUGUCUACUCUCUAUUCCAUGAGUUUAAUCAUUUUAAUUUUUAGUUUCCACAAAUAAGUGAGAACAUGCCAAGUUUGUCUUUCUGUGCCUGGCUUAUUUCACUUAACAUGAUGACCUCCAGUUCCAUUCAUGUUAUUGCAAAUGACAGGAUCCUAUUCUUUUCCAUGGUUGAAUAGUAGUACUCCAUUGGGUAUAUAUACCAUAUUUUCUGUAUCCACUACUUUGCUUAUGGACACUUAGGUUGCUACCAAAUCACUAUUGUGAAUAGUGCUGUAAUAAACACAGAAGUUCACAUAUAGCUUCAAUAUACUGAUUUCCUUUUUUUUGGGUAUAUACCUAGAAGUGAGAUUGCUGUGUCAUACUAUAGUUCUAUUGUUAGUUUUCUGAGGAACCUCUAUACUGUUCUACAUAGUGCCUGUAUUAAUUUACAUCUCUACCAACAGUGUAUGAGCAUUGCCUUUUCUCCACACCCUUUUAUCCAAACAAUAGGCAUUCAUCAUUGCCUGUCCUUUGGAUAAAAGGCACUUUAACAAGGGUGAGAUGAUAUCACAUUUUAGUUUUGAUUUGUAUUUCUCUGAUCAAUGAUGUUGAGAAUAUUUUCAUAUACCUGCUUGCCAUUCGUAUGUCUUUUUUUGAUAAAUGUCUAUUCAUAUCUUUUGCCUAUUUAAAUCAGAUUAUCAGAUUUUUAGAUUAGAUUUUUUCCUGUACAGUUGUUUGAGCUCCUUAUAUAUUCUUGUUAUUACUCCCUUUCAGAUGGAUAGUUUGUAAAUACUUUCUUCCAUUCUGUGAAUUGUCUCUUAACUUUGUGGAUUGUUUCUUUUGCUGUGCAUAAGGUUUUUAACUUGGUGUGAUCUAAUUUAUCCAUUUUUGCUUUGUUUGCCUUUGCUCGUGGGGUGUUAUUCAAUAAAUCUUUGCCCAAACCAAUGUCCCUGAUAAUUUCCUCAUUAUCUCUUUUGUUAGUUUCAUAGUUUGAGGUCUCAGAUUUACCUCUUCAGUUCAUUGUGAUUUGAUUUUUGUAAAUGAUGAGAUGGGGUCUAGUGUUAUUCAUCUGCAUAUGGAUCUCCAGUUUUCUCAGCACCAUUUAUUGAAGAGACUGUCCUUUUCGUAAUGUAUGCUCUUGGCACCUUUGUCAAAAGUGAGUUCCCUGUAGAUGUAUGGAUUUAUUUCUGGGUUCCCUAUUCUGUUCCAUUGGUCUAUGUGUUUGUUUUUAUGCCAGUACUAUGCAGUUUUGGUUACUCUAGCUCUGUAGUAUAAUUUGAAGUCAGGUGUAUUAGUCCUUUCUCAGACAGGUAUAAAGAACUGCCUGAGAGUGGGUAAUUUAUAAAGAAAAGAGGUUUAAUUGACUCAGAGUUCUGCAUGGCUGGGGAUGCCUCAGGAAACUUACAAUCAUGGCAGAAGGGGAAGCAGGCACAUCUUACAUGGUGGCAGGCAAGAGAGAGCGUGUGAAGGAGGAACUGUCAGACACUUAUAAAACCAUCAGAUCUCAUGAGAAUUUACUAUCAUGAAAACAGCAUCAAGAUAACCGCCCCUAUAAUCCAAUCAUCUCCCACCAGUUCUCUCCCUCGACAUGUGGCCAUUAUGGCGAUUACAAUUCAAGAUGAGAUGUGAGUGGGGACACAGACCAAAACCAUUUUAUCAGAUAAUGUGAUUCCUCCAGUUUUGUUCUUUCUGCUCAGGAUAACUUUGGCUAUCCUCAGUCUUUUGCAGUUCCAUAUAAAUUUUAGAAUUUUUUUUUUCUAUUUCUGUGAAGAAUGUCAUUGGUAUUUUGACAAUAAUUACAUUGACUCUGUAGAUUGCAUUGGGUAGCAUGGACAUUUUAACAAUAUUCAGUCUUCCAAUUCAUGACGAUGGAAUAUCUUUACUUUUUUGUGUUUUCUCCAAUUUCUUGCAUCAAUGUUUUACAGUUUUCAUUGUGGAAUCUUUAUUUC